rnacentral:rRNA from 1 species
AACGAACGCUGGCGGCAUGCCUAACACAUGCAAGUCGAACGAGACCUUCGGGUCUAGUGGCGAACGGGUGCGUAACGCGUGGGAACCUGCCCUUAGGUUCGGAAUAACUCCCCGAAAGGGGGGCUAAUACCGGAUAAUGUCUUCGGACCAAAGAUUUAUCGCCUUUGGAUGGGCCCGCGUUUGAUUAGCUAGUUGGUAGGGUAAAAGCCUACCAAGGCGACGAUCCAUAGCUGGUCUGAGAGGAUGAUCAGCCACACUGGGACUGAGACACGGCCCAGACUCCUACGGGAGGCAGCAGUGGGGAAUAUUGGACAAUGGGCGAAAGCCUAAUACAGCAAUGCCGCGUGAGUGAUGAAGGCCUUAGGGUUGUAAAGCUCUUUUAACCGGGAUGAUAAUGACAGUACCGGGAGAAUAAGCACCGGCUAACUCCGUG